CUUUUUGAAGCGCCGCCGGCGCCGCAGGAAGCUGCCGUUCUCGAACAUGUUGUAGGAGUCCGGGUCCAGGGUCCAGUAACUGCCCUUGCCGGGCUUCUUGUCGUCGCGGGGCACCUUGACGAAGCACUCGUUGAGCGAGAGGUUGUGGCGGAUGCUGUUCUGCCAGCCCUGCUUGUUCUCCCGGUAGAAGGGGAAGCGGUCCAUGAUGAACUGGUAGAUGCCGUUCAAGGGAGUUUCCAGGCUCGGGGUCGUCAAGGAUAACCUAUCGAGGUUUUAGAGGUAAACCCUACAAACUGAGUUUCCCUCGCUCCCCGCCGAGGAGCCAGGCAGCGGAGUGCAUAGAGGGGAAGGUAGCAACGUGCUGACUGACAACUUAAUCCUCCGAAUUCGCGGGGAAUUCGGUAGAUCAUCCGCGUCGCUGCGAGCAGUUUUGUGGGGUUUGGGGAAAAGGGUGAAGUGACUCUGCUAUUUCCCCCUUUCGUCUCCCGCGUGGACACUCGCAGCCUACCAACUUCAGCUUCGAAACUCGUCUCCCUUUUCCCAGGUUUCCUUGCACCCUUCCUGGCUGUUCAUCGGCUGCGUAUUCGAUUCUCAGCAAAAGGAUGUUGAGACAACCCACCAGGCCUCUUCGCUUCGGCCUCUUCGCUUCGGGGAGGCGACUAGAAGGCAAUGGGGCGUGCCACUUAUUUCCAAUAAAAGAACAGAAGACGAAAAUGUAGAUGCAUUAUCUUUGUCUCCUGAUCAAUUCAAAGCCAAAGGGAAGCUACAAAUCAGGUUCCUUUACCUUGAAUAUUCCACUUCUGAAACAUUGUUUUUAUGAGUAUUCUGGGCUCUUUUUCUAACCUGAUCCUUUUUCUUCUUUCUUUGAAACAAAGUAAAAUAAAGCUGCCCAGUUCUCAGCUCACAGGCAAAUGAUUUGAGCUUUCUGCCCCAACCCUAAACUCCCAC
rnacentral:lncRNA from 1 species